GUAGUCGUGGCCAAGUGGUUAAGGCAAUGGACUAGAAAUCCACUGAGGUCUCCCCACGCAGGUUCAAAUCCUGCUGACUAUG